GGUUGGAUCAUUAAAAAGAUCAUGCCUGGGCCGAGCCUGUCAACUGUAAUGGUUGAUAGGAUCAAAUCGGGCUUAUCUCACCUAAAAAGUGGGUUAAACAUCAUGUGAACUGUUCUGUCUCUGGCGGUGGGAUGGCUAAACACCAUCUGUCAGCCACCGAGGUAUACUCGGUGUGCCGUGGACAAGCCGCCAAUGGUGUAUGUUUCAUACAAACUUUUUGUUUUCAUAUAAUUUGUCUGACCUAACCUUGUAUCAAAAAAAUACAAAAACAACUUUUGGCAACGGAUCUCUUGGCUCCCGCAACGAUGAAGAACGCAGCGAAAUGCGAUAUGUAGUGUGAAUUGCAGAAUUCAGUGAAUCAUCGAAUCUUUGAACGCACAUUGCGCUCUCUGGUAUUCCGGGGAGCAUGCUCGUUUCAGAAUCAUUAAUAAUCUCAAAGAAAUGGUCAUUGUUUUCGAACGAUGCCUUUUCUUUUGGAUGUGAGCCUCUUUGCCUUCUGGCAAUGGCUUGAAAAUGAUUGUGUUUGCACCAGCUAUAUGGCUCGGUUCUUAACAAGUGCAACAGAUGUUUACAUUUCGUUUUCUCUUGGAAAGGAUCGGUGUUGGAUACUGGUAGUUCACUCAAAACCAUAACUUUCGGUGAUCCCCGGAUCAUUGACUGAUAACUUGGUCUGAAAUCGAGCAAGAAAACCCGCUGAACUUAAGCAUAUCAAUAAGCGGAGGAAAAGAAACUAACAAGGAUUCCCCUAGUAACGGCGAGUGAAGCGGGAACAGCUCAAAUUUGAAAUCUCACAAGGUCACUUGUGCGAAUUGUAGUUUAGAGAAACGUUUUCGGGGGCGACGUGGGUAUAAGUCCUUUGGAAAGAGGCAUCAUAGAGGGUGAGAAUCCCGUUUAUGAUCCACUGCUCGCUCCUAUGUGAUACGUUUUCCAAGAGUCAGGUAGUUUGGGAUUGCUGCCUAAAAUGGGUGGUAAAUACCAUCUAAAGCUAAAUAUUGGCGGGAGACCGAUAGCGAACAAGUACCGUGAGGGAAAGAUGAAAAGAACUUUGAAAAGAGAGUUAAACAGUACGUGAAAUUGCCAAAAGGGAAACGCUUGGAACCAGUAUUGCUUUCAAGUAAUCAACUUCACGUCCCGCAAGGGUCGCGUGGGGUGCACUUGCUUGCAAGCGAGCCAACAUCAGUUUGGUUUGGGGUAAAAAGCCAGUGGAAGGUAGCUCGAACUUCGGUUUGAGUGUUAUAGCCGCCGGUCAUGCCUUGGGCCAGACUGAGGUCUGCAGCGUUAUUUGGAUUCCCGGUUGCCUCUUGAGGCCAACCCUAGACAGCACGCUGACUAGGGUGACGUUUAGAGAGCUCAGCCGGUUCAUCACACCUACGCUUAGGAUGUUGGCGAAAUGGUUCCAAACGACCCGUCUUGAAACACGGACCAAGGAGUCUAACAUAUAUGCGAGUAUUUGGGUGGCAAACCCUCAUGCGCAAUGAAAGUGAACUUAGGUGGGAUCUUCGGUGCACCAUCGACCGGUCUGGAUUUUUUUUGAUAGAUCUGAGUAAGAGCAUACAUGUUGGGACCCGAAAGAUGGUGAACUAUGCCUGAAUAGGGUGAAGCCAGAGGAAACUCUGGUGGAGGCUCGUAGCGAUUCUGACGUGCAAAUCGAUCGUCAAAUUUGGGUAUAGGGGCGAAAGACUAAUCGAACCAUCUAGUAGCUGGUUCCCUC
rnacentral:misc_RNA from 1 species